rnacentral:rRNA from 1 species
GAUGAACGCUAGCGACAGGCCUAACACAUGCAAGUCGAGGGGCAGCAUAAAGGUAGCAAUACUUUGGUGGCGACCGGCGCACGGGUGAGUAACACGUAUGCAACCUACCUGUAAGAGGGGAAUAACCCGGAGAAAUUCGGACUAAUACCGCAUAAUACUGAUUAUCUGCAUGGAUUGAUCAGUUAAACAUUUAUGGCUUACAGAUGGGCAUGCGUAUGAUUAGAUAGUUGGUAGGGUAACGGCCUACCAAGUCAACGAUCAUUAGGGGUUCUGAGAGGAAGGUCCCCCACACUGGUACUGAGACACGGACCAGACUCCUACGGGAGGCAGCAGUGAGGAAUAUUGGUCAAUGGGCGAGAGCCUGAACCAGCCAAGUCGCGUGAAGGAAGAAGGUUCUAUGGAUUGUAAACUUCUUUUGUAAGGGAAUAAAAGAGUUACGUGUAACUUAUUGUAUGUACUUUACGAAUAAGGAUCGGCUAACUCCGUGCCAGCAGCCGCGGUAAAACGU